rnacentral:misc_RNA from 1 species
GAACGCACAUUGCGCCCGCCAGUAUUCUGGCGGGCAUGCCUGUUCGAGCGUCAUUGCAACCCUCAGGCCCUGCCUGGCGUUGGAGGACUGCGCUGCAGCCUCCCAAAGCAAGCGGCGGCGGCGCCCCAAAACCGAACGCAGUAAUUUUUUCUCGUUCAGGGUGUGGGACGUUGUCCGGCCGGAAAACCCCCUUCUUUUAGUGGUUGACCUCGAAUCAGGUAGGAAUACCCGCUGAACUUAAG